AUUGAACGCUGGCGGCAGGCUUAACACAUGCAAGUCGAGCGGUAACAGUCCUUCGGGAGCUGACGAGCGGCGGACGGGUGAGUAACGCGUAGGAACAUACCUUGUAGACGAGGAUAGCCCGAGGAAACUCGGAUUAAUACUGGAUAUACCUAAGGGUGAAAGAUGGCCUCUGAUUUAAGCUGUCGUUACAAGAUUGGCCUGCGUAAGAUUAGCUUGUUGGUAAGGUAAAAGCUUACCAAGGCUACGAUCUUUAGCUGGUUUGAGAGGAUGAUCAGCCACACUGGGACUGAGACACGGCCCAGACUCCUACGGGAGGCAGCAGUGGGGAAUAUUGGGCAAUGGGCGAAAGCCUGACCCAGCCAUGCCGCGUGUGUGAAGAAGGCCUUAGGGUUGUAAAGCACUUUAAGUUGUGAAGAAGAUUAAUUAUUUAAUAGAUAGUUAAUUUGACAUUAGCAACAGAAUAAGCACCGGCUAACUCCG
rnacentral:rRNA from 1 species